CCCGGCACACGCACCCACCCCAGGUGCUCCGAGCCUGCUCAUCCCUGGGGAAAACACGGCGCGCAGCUUUCUCUGCCGUGGCGCUGAGUUGUAGAUCAUCUCAAAAACGGCGAGUUUGAGAAGGGCCAGCUGAUGAGGGAUUUGUUUAUAAAAGGAAGCUAGUAACUGUGGUUAUGGAAAGACUUGAGACAAGAUACGAAGACUUCCAGCAGCAGUGUGAAGGAGAAUCUCUACUAGAAAUUAAUUUCAGAGGUGCAAAAUUGUGGCUGUGAGCACUGUACCACGGAACUGGAAUGAUAGUGAAAAAUAAUGGAAGAGAACUUUAUUUCAAUUAUCUCUCUUUUGUCUGCAAAGAAAAAGGAAAACUGCUUCAGGAGGUCCAAGUCUCUCUUGUCCUGAGGAGCCCAGAACUGGACACAGAAUUCCAGAUGUGCCUCACCAGGGCUGAGCAGAGGAGCAGGAUCGCUUCCCUCGGCCUGCUGGCAAUGCUGCUCCAAAUGCACCCCAGGAUCCCAUUGGCCUUCUUGGCCACUGCUGCUCAUGGACAGCUUGUGUUCCACCAGGACCCCCAGGUCCUUCUCCACAGAGCUGCUUUCCAAGAGCUCAGCCCCCAGCCUGUGCUGCUGCAGGGGGUUGUUCCUCCCCAGGAGCAGGACCUGCACCUGCCUUUGUUCAAUUUCAGAAGGUCCCUCUCUGCCCACGGGUCAUAAGCAACACUGUUUAUCAGACACUCUUUGGAUGCAGUGCUGGCAGCCUUUGUUGAGGAGCCCAUUUCUCACUCACAGACUAUUUGGAGUAAAGCUUAUUUCAAAAAGAAAAGCCUGGACUGGAGCAUGGUGCAUGGGCUGCACACACAGUACGACACACAUCAACUGAGUGCCAAUCUGUCCUUUUAGAAAACACUGGGUUUUAUGCAUUAAUCACAGUUGAGUGAAAGAUGUGCUAUUGUUUUUACUAAUCAGAGGUGGUUUGUUUCUCAGAUUAUUCAGCAAUAGUAACAGCCUUCUAGGAAAAAUUUAGGUACUUACAAAGGUAUGCUGUGUAACCCAGGUUUGUCAUUGUACUCUGUGGAAGAGAAGAGAAGAGAAGAGAAGAGAAGAGAAGAGAAGAGAAGAGAAGAGAAGAGAAGAGAAGAGAAGAGAAGAGAAGAGAAGAGAAGAGAAGAGAAGAGAAGAGAAGAGAAGAGAAGAGGGCAGAGCAAGGGGAGGAAAAAACAGGAUAAAGGAGACUUGUCAGCUAUUUUUUCAGUCAUUAUCUCAGAUCAAGCUCUAACUUAAAAGGGAACAUUCACAAAAAUGGGACUUUUAGUAACUGGGCACAAAGCUGAAUUGGGAUGACUGAAAUUCAAUCCUUAUCCUUUCUGGAAAAUAGUUACAUUUGACAUAGUCCAAUGAAAGGCACAGUGAUGUGAGGACAGAUGGGUGUGAAGGCUGUGACAGAGCUGGUGGGUGGGUAGAGCAGAUGGAGGGCUUCAGCAAAAAGUGUCACUGGGAAAUGUCACUGAUGGGUAGGGUUAGAGUGGAAACAAAAUGUGCACAAAAACCAAACUUGUGGGAUUUUGUGGCUUUGUCAUCCAGUUUCCAGCUGAUAAAUUAUAUUUUGCA